CAACGUUCUCAGGGCGGGGUGCAAUUCCCCACCGGCGGUAAUGGCGCGCAAAGUGCCUAGCCCGCGAGCGCUUGACGGUUCGGACGGCUUUGCCGGUCAGGGUCGACAAGGUCAGCAGACCCGGUGUGAUCCCGGGGCCGACGGUCAUAGUCCGGAUGAAGAGAGAACGGGA
rnacentral:ncRNA from 1 species